rnacentral:rRNA from 1 species
CCUACGGGAGGCAGCAGUGGGGAAUUUUGGACAAUGGGCGAAAGCCUGAUCCAGCCAUUCCGCGUGCAGGACGAAGGCCUUCGGGUUGUAAACUGCUUUUGUACGGAACGAAAAGGUUUCAGCUAAUACCUGGGACUCAUGACGGUACCGUAAGAAUAAGCACCGGCUAACUACGUGCCAGCAGCCGCGGUAAUACGUAGGGUGCGAGCGUUAAUCGGAAUUACUGGGCGUAAAGCGUGCGCAGGCGGUCUUGUAAGACAGAUGUGAAAUCCCCGGGCUCAACCUGGGAACUGCAUUUGUGACUGCAAGGCUAGAGUGCGGCAGAGGGGGAUGGAAUUCCGCGUGUAGCAGUGAAAUGCGUAGAUAUGCGGAGGAACACCGAUGGCGAAGGCAAUCCCCUGGGCCUGCACUGACGCUCAUGCACGAAAGCGUGGGGAGCAAACAGGAUUAGAUACCCUGGUAGUCCACGCCCUAAACGGUGUCAACUGGUUGUUGGGUCUUCACUGACUCAGUACGAAGCUAACGCGNGAGUAGACGCGNGGAGGUAACGGUCGCGAGUUAGUAACGUUACGAAGAAGUUAGACGGCGNGAGAGNGCGACGGACGACGACGAGGGAGGAGG